UUGAACGCUGGCGGAAUGCUUUACCCCUGCAAGUCGCACGGCAGCACGGGGGCAGCCCUGGUGGCGAGUGGUGAACGGGUGAGUAAUACAUCGGAACGUGCCCGGUCGUGGGGGAUAACGUAGCGAAAGUUACGCUAAUACCGCAUACGAUCUGAGGAUGAAAGCGGGGGACCUUCGGGCCUCGCGCGAUCGGAGCGGCCGAUGUCAGAUUAGGUAGUUGGUGGGGUAAAGGCCUACCAAGCCGACGAUCUGUAGCUGGUCUGAGAGGACGACCAGCCACACUGGGACUGAGACACGGCCCAGACUCCUACGGGAGGCAGCAGUGGGGAAUUUUGGACAAUGGGCGCAAGCCUGAUCCAGCCAUUCCGCGUGCAGGACGAAGGCCUUCGGGUUGUAAACUGCUUUUGUACGGAACGAAAAGGCUCUGGCUAAUACCUGGGGCUCAUGACGGUACCGUAAGAAUAAGCACCGGCUAACUACGUG
rnacentral:rRNA from 1 species